AGGGUUCGAUUAUGGCUCAGGAUGAACGCUAGCGGCAGGCUUAACACAUGCAAGUCGAGGGGCAGCGUGGAGUAGCAAUACUCUGACGGCGACCGGCGGAAGGGUGCGUAACACGUGAGCGACUUGCCCGAUACAGGGAGAUAACCGGUGGAAACGCCGACUAAUAUCCCAUACGACUUGAGGCUGCAUGGCCUUGAGUUGAAAGGUUCGCCGGUAUCGGAUAGGCUCGCGGGACAUUAGCUUGAUGGCGGGGCAACGGCCCACCAUGGCGACGAUGUCUAGGGGUUCUGAGAGGAAGACCCCCCACACUGGGACUGAGACACGGCCCAG
rnacentral:rRNA from 1 species